CCUACUUCUUCUAACUUUACUAAUUGGGACAAGCAUAUUUUCCCAACAAGUUGUAAAGAUCUAUAUUAUAUUUUAGGAGGAGGACUCACUUAAGAAUCAAAUUUCAACUCUGAAUGUAAUGCUGCAUGCAGAUUUUUUAAAAGUAUUUUCAUUGUAUUUCCAUUUAUUAGGUCAUUGUAACCUCACUGCACAGACACUUCACUACAAAGUGGGCACUGGCAUGAUCUUAUCUGCUACAAUUCCUCUUAGAAAUGGUUUACACAAACAGACAAAUCGACUCCAUCCAGAAACUGUACACCUAUUCUUCAUUUUCC
rnacentral:lncRNA from 1 species